CGGAGUUCCCGUCGUGGCACAGUGGUUAACAAACCCGACUAGGAACCAUGAGGUUGCAGGUUCGGUCCCUGCCUUUGCUCAGUGGGUUAACGAUCUGGUGUUGCCGUGAGCUGUGGUGUAGGUUGCAGACGCGGCUCGGAUCCUGCGUUGCUGUGGCCCUGGCGUAGGCUGGUGGCUACAGCUCCGAUUCGACCCCUAGCCUGGGAACCUCCAUAUGCCGUGAGAGUGGCCCAAGAAAAUGGCAAAAAGACAAAAAAAAAAAAACAAAAAACAAAAUAUGAACCCACCAUUUUAUUUCCGGCAUUCCUAAUUCAUGAUCACGUUCCUUUUGAGAGGAGACUUGUCAUGUUAAUUGGAAGAAUAACAACAAUGAAAGAUACUACCUCUUGAGAAUUACAUGCCAAACAUUGUGCAAAAUGUUGCACAUACAUGAUCUCAUUUAAUCUUCAGAAUGCUCUUCAAGUUCCCAUUGUGAUGCUGUGGGAUUGGCAGCAUCUCUACAGUGCCAGGAUGUAGGUGUGAUUCCUUGCCCGCCACAGUAUGUUAAAGGAUCUGGUGUUGCUGCAGCUAUAGUAUGGGUUGCAAUUGUGGCUCGAAUCUGAUCCCUGGCCUGGGAACUCCACGUGCUGUGGGGUGGCCAAAAAAGAAAAAAAAAAAGUCUUCCCAAUGCUCUGAGAGUAAGCUUAACUACCUUUUUUUUUUUUUUUUUCAUAUCUUCAGAAAUCCAGAAAUCCUCAGAAACGUUAACCAAAACUUCAGCGUAUUGUAUAUAAGCCCUGCUUUUCCAUGAGCCUACGUAUGAAUAUGGCUUAACAUGUAGCACAUUCACAACUGUGAUAGACACUGUCAUGAAGUAUGAAGUAUAUGUGCUCUCCAACCAGUCCAUGAUUUUAAUUCAAUUUUGCAUAAAUUGCAAGAAACAUCUUGAAGAAAACAGGAGGCUCAUUCUGAGACAGAUACAAUAACAUGAGUGGGUUUCACUUGUUUUCCUAAGCCUUAAAGGGAGCUUUGGAAAAUGGGAUAGAUAGGAUUUGUCAGAUGAACAAUGAGAAAUUCAAGGGGUAAAGAGAAAACAUUCACCCUUGCCACCUUUUUUUAAUUUUCUCAUUCCUGUCAAGGACUGGCUGUACAUUUUGCCCAGGAUAGCCUUCUAAUCCUUGUGUACAAAGCUACAUGCAUUCCUUUAUCAAAAACUUGACUCCAUGCUAGCAUCUCCAAGGAGCCCUACCCUGAGGAUAGGUGGGAAGAAUUCAUCCUCUGGUGCCUCUCUACCAACAGCAUGCCCUAAACACCUUUCACUUAGAAUUUUGAACAGUUUGUUCAGAAACAAAAAGAAAAUUAUUAUCUGAUUUGUCAUUCUGUUUUGUGUGAUUGUAAAUUCAGGCAUUCUUCUAUUUUUUACUACAUGAAGGUCAAGAAAUAUUUAGUGCAUUAAAUAGUUAAUUUGGUGGAAUAACAUCUGGAAUAUUUAGAAAUGGCUUGUAAAAGGGAUAGAAUGUACAUUUCUGUAAAAGCAGGCAAUUCCUUCAUCAAUAAUUAGGACAGAGUAUCUUAGCUAUAGUGUGUCAUUGAUGGUGGGCCAUUGUGGAGAGAGAUUCAUUCUUUUAUUGGGAGCCUCCAAGGGAGGGAUGGAGUAAAUUCAAUCCAUACAAAAAUGCAGGGAGGGAGUUCCUGUUGUGGCUUAGCAGUACUGAACCCGAUUAGUAACCAUGAGGAUGCGGAUUUGGAUUCUGCAUUGCUGUGAUGUAGGCCGGCAGCUGCAGCUCUAAUUCGACCCCUAGCCUGGGCACUUCUAUAUGCCACACAUGUGACACCAGCCCCACUGCCCCUGCCCCCCGGAAAAAAAAAAAAAAAAGGGAGGAGAGCAAGGAGCUUCCUUGGGUGGAGAAAAUGACAGUCAUUUUAAGAGAUGAUGGAGGACGUCACAAUUACUUUUUUGUAUCCACCUUUUCGCUCUGUGUAUUCAUAUGGAAUCAGAGAGAAUGAAACAUAGAUGAAGCCUCUACAAAGUACAUUCAUACUGCUUGAGGUCCCAGAAUGGUGCAAAGUGGAACUCUUCCAUUAGAGGAUGCAGGCAGAGAUUCUGGGGGGAGGGCUAUGUGACAUGAGCAUUCAUGCUAGAGGAUAGGUUGCAAAGUUGACCAUCCAGAAGUAAGAAAUUAUUCAAAGACAGAAUGUGGAACUAUUACUUUUAAGAGUUCAUUUGAUAUUAUAGCAUAUAUCUAUAAUGAUGAUGUUUAGAAUCAUAUCAUCCUUAGAUAUUACUAUCCAACAGUUGCACUUAAUCAUAUGUCAUAAAAAUAAGUACCUGUGCCAUAUAUAGAGCAGGAAGGGGAAAGACUGUAUUUGUUUUUUGAUUCGUAGAAUUUUCAAGAACAUGGUAAUAAAAUCAGGGGUGAAUUCAUAAGAAUAACAUUCUGGUCCCUUUCUUGUGGUGAUAGCUAGAAAGUUAUAGAUAAUGCUUAAAUAAAUUCACUUUUUCAGAAAUUGCUAGAAAUUUUACUUUUAAGAGUUGUUUCUGACACACAGGCAUUGAUCUCAGAAGCUAUGGAAUAUACCCUGUUGGUUAGAAAAAAGUCAGGCUCCAUCUAUCACUAUUACAGGAAGAAUGUAUUCUCUGUGGAAUCCUUUAAAGGCUAGGAGUUCACUUCCUCCUCGCGGUGGCAGAGUGGGUUGUAUUUAUCUGGCCAUUGAAUAUGACUCCCCACCAAGUCUGAAGGUGCAUGGAGCACACCCAACAGUCUGCACACAAAGAAAGAUCAAGUUGGUCUGCCCCUCACUUUGGAGCUUGGAGCCCACUGAUCUCAGUAGUGUGUCACUGUCCCUUUUAUGACAACGACUCAUUUCCCAGGCCUGCUGGGUUUCCAGACUGCCUUCCUAUUGUAUGUGUACACAGACUGAUUAUAAGUUCACCACUUCCUUCCACCUUUUUUGUACAGGGUAUUAUCUAUGACAGAUGAGUGCAAUAAAGUGAAUCCAUUUUUUCCCCCCUCUUGCAGGCAGCACAGUGAGUUCUAACCAACAAAGGCAACAUUGAGGUAAAUCUUUAACAGUGUCACCACAUUGACUUUCAUCAUUUUCACCUUUCCUUUCACUGAUUUUUAUCCCUGGAGUUGUAAAACAUAGUUUCACAUUGUGACCGUCCUCUAGUCCUCAGUAGAAUUAGUUACACAGACAAGAACAUACUCUUUUUCAUAGACACUCCAUCACAGCUCAGACUUCAUUGCCUCUCGCUCCACAAAUUCUAUUUUAUAGAUAAAAGCUCAGAGUUUCAAAGGAUGAAAAAUUUUCAAAAAAAGUCAAGCUUUCAUUUUAAAAAGAUAAUGCAAUACUAGGAAACUAUUGGAAAAAUGUGAUGGAAUAUUUAUUUAAUAAGAAGGGAAAUGUUGUCUAUGUAUUAAGAAAAAAUCCAAAACAGUAUAUAUGCGAUUUUAUAAAAAUUUUAUAAACUCCAUACUAUAUACAUACAGAAAAAUAUGUAGUUGUCUGUCUUUUUUUCUUUUCUCUCUAUGACAUAUUUGGUCUCAAAUUAAGAUUUUAAAAUGUGUAAAGGCAAAAAGGAAAACAGAAAAUAGGAAAUAAUGAACACUGCAAGGUUCUUGUUUCAAGCUGUUUAGCCUACAUUUAAAAAAAUUUUGAAAAUCAAAAAUUGGUACAUAUUUAUUGUUUUAGUCAAUGUUUACUGCAAAAAGGAAAGACAUUUCAUGGAAGAGAAGGCAUGUAAGAAACCACCACUCUAAUACCAGAUGGAUUUCUAUUUUUCUUAAGUCACAGGCAGUUUUAAAACAAACGAGGGUGCUUUGUAAAGAAAGCACAUUUGAAGGCCUCAAUGUAGGAAUACUGUGAAAGAACCUACUGGAAAAGGGAGAUACAAAACCCAAAAGCUAAUUUUCCCCAUUUGACAAUUUAAAUAAUUCCUAUCAUUGCAUUGUGAAUUGUUAUACUUUAAAGGACAAUUAUUAUGUUUGAACUUUGGAUUAUUUUUUCCUUCUUUUAUUUAAUCAACUGAGAAGGAACCCCUACUAUGCUGCUUUCAUUAAAAUCUUUCUGUGAUAUCCCUUUUCCACCAUGCUCAGUGGCUGGCAAUCUCUGUAAGAGAACUGAUUACGAAAAGAAACAGGGAGUUCCUGUCGUGGCUCAGUGGUUAACAAAUCUGACUAGGAACCAUGAGGUUGCAGGUUCGAUCCCUGGCCUUGCUCAGUGAAUUAAGGAUCCGGCUUUGCCGUGGGCUGUGGUAUAGUAGGAAACCUCCAUAUGCCAUAGGAGCAGCCCUAGAAAAGGCAAAACGACAAAAAAAAAAAAAAAAAAAGUGAUGGUAAGGUAAAUGGUAAGGACCAAAGAGGGACCUUUGAAAGGUCAUAUUCUGCAAAGUACCUGACUGAAACAGCAGGGAGUCAUGGAGAUUAUAGACAAUUUGGGAGUUGAUUUUUUAAAAAAUGGAAGAAAAGCAAAUAUGUCAUAUUAGCAAAAAUUCUUGGAAGGCAGCUGUACUCACCACUAUACCACCAAUGAAGCAAAAAUUCUUUUAAAGGAAAUUUGAAGCCCAGACAGAGCCAAAUAAUUAAUUUGCAAAGACCAAAAAGUAAAAUUUGGGUAGCUUGAAGAACUUGCUUCAAAUAAUCAGGCCUCACACUAGCUUGUGCCUCUGGGAGUCUUAUACUUAAUUCUAAAUAAUUUGUGACUGAACUAGUCAAGAUUAUAUCCUCAGUACUAGAAUUAGUACGAGGAUGUUAUAAUGCUUGAUAGAUAAAUAAUCUAUCCUUGACAGCCUGGUUUAUCGGAUGUAAGAUGAGAAGACGAUUAGACCUAUUCUAUAUACAUAUUUAAGAAUUAAAAAGGAAUUCCUGCUGUAGCAUAGUGGAUUAAGAAUCUACUGCUCAGGAUGCUGUGGAGGCGUGGGUUCAAUCCUCAGCCGGGCUCAGUGGAUUAAAGGAUCUGGUGUUGCCAUAGCUAUGGUUCAGGCUUAAUCUCUGGCCUGGAAACUUCCAUAUUCUGCAGGUGUGGGCACCAAAUAUAUAUAUAUAUUUGUGAGAUAGGUAUCUAUGUAAAUAAGUUGCAAUUAUAAUAAGUUGAAAUUAGUAGGGUUGCCAAAUUUAGGAAAUAAAAAAUACAGGACUGCCAGUUAAUUUAAAUUUCAGAUAAAAGACAAUUUUUAGUCUAUAUAUGCCUUAUGUAAAAAUACUAUUUACUAUUUAUCUGAAAAUCAAACCUAACUGAGCUUCCUAUAUUUUACUGACAACUCUAGGAUAUAGGAAAAGAAUUAGGGAAUGAUUAAGAUUUGAGAUUAUUGUAAUUUCUUU
rnacentral:lncRNA from 1 species